UGCUGGAGGUAUCAGAAGUGCGAAUGCUGACAUAAGUAACGAUAAAGCGGGUGAAAAGCCCGCUCGCCGGAAGACCAAGGGUUCCUGUCCAACGUUAAUCGGGGCAGGGUGAGUCGACCCCUAAGGCGAGGCCGAAAGGCGUAGUCGAUGGGAAACAGGUUAAUAUUCCUGUACUUGGUGUUACUGCGAAGGGGGGACGGAGAAGGCUAUGUUGGCCGGGCGACGGUUGUCCCGGUUUAAGCGUGUAGGCUGGUUUUCCAGGCAAAUCCGGAAAAUCAAGGCUGAGGCGUGAUGACGAGGCACUACGGUGCUGAAGCAACAAAUGCCCUGCUUCCAGGAAAAGCCUCUAAGCAUCAGGUAACAUCAAAUCGUACCCCAAACCGACACAGGUGGUCAGGUAGAGAAUACCAAGGCGCUUGAGAGAACUCGGGUGAAGGAACUAGGCAAAAUGGUGCCGUAACUUCGGGAGAAGGCACGCUGAUAUGUAGGUGAAGUCCCUCGCGGAUGGAGCUGAAAUCAGUCGAAGAUACCAGCUGGCUGCAACUGUUUAUUAAAAACACAGCACUGUGCAAACACGAAAGUGGACGUAUACGGUGUGACGCCUGCCCGGUGCCGGAAGGUUAAUUGAUGGGGUCAGCGCAAGCGAAGCUCUUGAUCGAAGCCCCGGUAAACGGCGGCCGUAACUAUAACGGUCCUAAGGUAGCGAAAUUCCUUGUCGGGUAAGUUCCGACCUGCACGAAUGGCGUAAUGAUGGCCAGGCUGUCUCCACCCGAGACUCAGUGAAAUUGAACUCGCUGUGAAGAUGCAGUGUACCCGCGGCAAGACGGAAAGACCCCGUGAACCUUUACUAUAGCUUGACACUGAACAUUGAGCCUUGAUGUGUAGGAUAGGUGGGAGGCUUUGAAGUGUGGACGCCAGUCUGCAUGGAGCCGACCUUGAAAUACCACCCUUUAAUGUUUGAUGUUCUAACGUUGGCCCCUGAUCGGGGUUGCGGACAGUGUCUGGUGGGUAGUUUGACUGGGGCGGUCUCCUCCUAAAGAGUAACGGAGGAGCACGAAGGUUGGCUAAUCCUGGUCGGACAUCAGGAGGUUAGUGCAAUGGCAUAAGCCAGCUUGACUGCGAGCGUGACGGCGCGAGCAGGUGCGAAAGCAGGUCAUAGUGAUCCGGUGGUUCUGAAUGGAAGGGCCAUCGCUCAACGGAUAAAAGGUACUCCGGGGAUAACAGGCUGAUACCGCCCAAGAGUUCAUAUCGACGGCGGUGUUUGGCACCUCGAUGUCGGCUCAUCACAUCCUGGGGCUGAAGUAGGUCCCAAGGGUAUGGCUGUUCGCCAUUUAAAGUGGUACGCGAGCUGGGUUUAGAACGUCGUGAGACAGUUCGGUCCCUAUCUGCCGUGGGCGCUGGAGAACUGAGGGGGGCUGCUCCUAGUACGAGAGGACCGGAGUGGACGCAUCACUGGUGUUCGGGUUGUCAUGCCAAUGGCACUGCCCGGUAGCUAAAUGCGGAAGAGAUAAGUGCUGAAAGCAUCUAAGCACGAAACUUGCCCCGAGAUGAGUUCUCCCUGACUCCCUGAGAGUCCUGAAGGAACGUUGAAGACGACGACGUUGAUAGGCCGGGUGUGUAAGCGCAGCGAUGCGUUGAGCUAACCGGUACUAAUGAACCGUGAGGCUUAACCUU
rnacentral:rRNA from 1 species